rnacentral:lncRNA from 1 species
UCAAUUUACAAUUUUCAACAAAAAAUAAGUACUCUGAAGCGGCUUUCAGUCAACAACAUUCCAUUCAUCCAUCCAAACUUCCAUCCUGCAAAAAUGCGAAAUGAAAUAUGAAAAUCAAACACAAUCAAUUCUAAGUCUGAUGCAUUGUGAAGGUACUAAAUCUUGAUGAUUUACCCAAUUCAUUGAAUUGAUCCCAAGCUUCCUAUCCUGCACAUCUCAAACAUAACACAAGUCGAGAAAAUAAUAGAGCUGUGAUUUUCAUUACAAGUUAACAAAUAAUCUCAUCAUAACGUGUCCAUAGUAAUAGGUAAAUCACCAUCUGCCCAAACAACUAAAUAUCAUCACUUAGUAAGACAUUAAUAUUAUAUAUGGACUUACAUAAAAAGCCACAAACUGCCCAAACAAGAACAUCUCAUUUGAAGCAAAACCAUUUACUUAUGUUAAUUUACACUAUUAUUUUCACUUAGUUUAAUCCACUCUGGUAAUUGAAGUCUUUCAAAUACCAGUUGGAGACUU